rnacentral:rRNA from 1 species
GAUGAACGCUGGCGGCGUGCCUAAUACAUGCAAGUCGAGCGAACAGACGCGGAGCUUGCUCCUCUGACGUUUGCGGCGCACGUGUGUGUAACACGUGGAUACCCUCCCUAUAUGACUGAGAUAACUUCGGGAAACCGGCGCUAAUUCCGGAUAAUCUUUUUAACCACAUGGUUCAAUGGUAAAAGACUGUUUUUCUGUCCAUUAUACAUGGAUCCGCGCCGCAUUAGCUAGGUGGGAAGGUAAUGGCUUCCCAAGGCAACGAUGCGUAGCCGACGUGAGAGAGUGGUCGGCCACACGAGAACGGAGACACGGACCAGACGCCUGCGAGAGGCAGCAGUAGGGAAUCUGACGCAAUGGGCGAAAGCUUGACGGAGCAAGGCCGCGUGAGUGAUGACGGUCUUCGGAUCGUAAAACUGUGUUAUGAGGGAAGAACAAAUGUGUAAGGAACUAUGCAGUACGUGACGGUACCUGAUGAAAAAGCCACGGCUAACUACGUG